rnacentral:rRNA from 1 species
GACGAACCGUCCGAACGUUAUUCGGUAUCACUGGGCUUAAAGAGUUCGUAGGCGGCCCCGCAGGUGAGGUGUGAAAUCCCUCGGCUUAACCGAGGAACUGCGCUUCAAACCGCGAGGCUAGAGGAAGACAGGGGUGAGCGGAACAGAUGGUGGAGCGGUGAAAUGCGUUGAUAUCAUCUGGAACACCGGUGGCGAAAGCGGCUCACUGGGUCUUUUCUGACGCUGAGGAACGAAAGCUAGGGUAGCGAACGGG